CCUGGGACUGAACAUUUGCCAUUCUCUUUAGACGGGGCAUAGUUUCUCCAAUUUGCCCCAGUCUUCAGUACUUCUUAGAGAGAUUUCCUCCAAACCUACUCAAGCAUUCAUUAUCUGCCUUCUGUCUGUAGGCAUAUUAAUCUGUUAGGAAAUCUCAACAUUUUAUGAAUAUUUACCAAGCUUUCACCAUCAAUCCUGAGGAUCAACAGUCUAAUCCUGCCACUUAAGCCACAUCUAACAUAGGACUGGAUCUGCUGUUUUGGAAACUAAUUGAUACAAUUCUAUUAAACAGACUAAAUUGAGGUGAAAAUAGACCUAAUGACCAUCGAUGCAUCAGUUAGGUCAAAAUUUUUAUCUUUUCAUGCAUGUUAACCACAUGAAUAUACUUUUAAAGUUGGAGCAAUUAUCAUACACAACUACUUCUCCAAAUUAUGCAUAAAACACUGGUACUAGAAAAAGAGAAUGCAGUAUUUGAGAGCUUCAGGAAAUCCUAUUCUUAUCAGUAGAAAGAUGUGGAUGUACCAUGACUCAGAGAUAUUUUUAUAUGAUGCUAAAUGUAUUAUAAUAAAAUUAGCUUCUAUGAUUCGCAUUUACUAACAGCUCUGAAAGUUUCCUCACCUUGUAUAUAGAUUCGGAUUGGAAUACUUUUUGAAAAUAUUUUUCUUAUGUAUUUAAUUUUUUCAAUAAUGGUUGAUAUUUUUGUGCUGAAAUGGGCUUAAAUAUAACUUUAAAAACAAUUUAAAAUAAGACAGUUUACAUUAGAAAUAAUAACUGAGUUUAAGUUAAACCAAGACUAAUUAAAAAAAUAAAAGACCAACAUUACUGACUUUGGCCUCGAGCACAGUCAGUUUGGCAUAAUGGAGCCUCGCUGAACUGGAAGCCUGAGAGUUAUGCUGUCUGUUGAUUACAUUCUCUGUCACUCAGAAGGUAAUGAGACCAUUUUCCAUUCUGUAAAAUGGGAAUUAAAACAACUUCUGCAUUUCUUUUUCAGGGUGGUUGUAAGGAUCAAAUAUAAUAAAGAGUGAAAACACGUUAAUCUUAAGUGACACAAAGUUAUUUAAAGAAUGGAUUAGUGCUAUCCCAAUUAUUGACUUUUUUUUUUCCCUACAAUGGUCAUUUUCCCUUUUUGGUUUUCAUUGAUGGUGUCUGUCCUCACUUCCUCUGAAUAAAGUUUUGGAAUUUUUUUUUUUCAUAAUUGGAUAAAAUUAGAAAGAAUCCUGCAUCAAGUAGGAAGAUGCCUUAGCUGUUACAUUGUAAAAUUCCAAAGAAAAUCAUUAGGCACGUGGGCCCAUUUAGGGACUUCUGUUUUAUAAGGCAUGUUGGUGUAUAAGUGUAUGAGUAGAACUCCACAAAUUAUACUUAACAUUUACCCUUAAGUAAGCUGAUAAAUCUGCGUGAAAAGAAGCCCAAGUCUCCACUCUUGCUUCCAGUUCUCCUGCUUACAAAGCGAACUGUGUCUGCCAAUUCCCGAAAAGCCAAAGGGGGAAGCUCUUUUUUUACAAGCUACCUUUAACUGGCAACAUUUAGUGCACUACACUAAUACCCUAACAACAUCUUUACAGCAGCCUCAGUCAAGUCCUGCGCAUCCCUUAACCUUCAGGCCUGGGAAGAGAACUUGGCUUGCGGCCACCAGGAGGAGGCUUCUUUGUUUGAUCUGCUACAUCAUAAGCUUACUAGCACGGAGGGAUAGCAUGUCGUUGAACGUGGAAGAACACACCUUCAUCUGUAUUAAUGAAGAAAACUAUUGAAAACCAACAGACUAAUUAAGGGUAAUGAUGAACAAUUUUGAUCAGCCAUUAUUUGUUAAUAUUGAAGUUCGCUCCUGGAAAGAGUAGAAUGGGGAAGUUCGUCUUCCAGCUUCUACCCAGAAAGGUAGCGAGAGAGAUCCUGUUUCAUUUCCAUUUCUUCUCCCACAAACUGUUUUAACAUAUAAUUGAAUCAAUGCCUUUAUUUCAAAAGAAAAAAAAAGUAAUUAUAGAGCUUGUUGGGAUCCUGUAUGAAGAGAGGACAUUAUGCCUGCAUGAAUUCCAUCGGUGAUCUGAGGAGGAGCAGGCUGCUUGGACCAUUACCCAUCAUUGUCGAACAGCAGAGUAAUUAAUUGGGCAAAUACGUCUAGAUCUGGUGAAUUCACAUGCACAGUAACUGGGCAGCAGCAACACACACUCUUUUACUGUGAAUAAAAUAGCAAUAGUUUUCUGUGUC